GUGGGGAAUAUUGGACAAUGGGCGAAAGCCUGAUCCAACCAUGCCGCGUGUGUGAAGAAGGUCUUCGGAUUGUAAAGCACUUUAAGUUGGGAGGAAGGGCAGUAAGUUAAUACCUUGCUGUUUUGACGUUACCGACAGAAUAAGCACCGGCUAACUUCGUGCCAGCAGCCGCGGUAAUACGAAGGGUGCAAGCGUUAAUCGGAAUUACUGGGCGUAAAGCGCGCGUAGGUGGUUUUGUAAGUUGAAGGUGAAAUCCCCGGGCUCAACCUGGGAACUGCCUCCAAAACUGCAUGACUAGAGUACGGUAGAGGGUAGUGGAAUUUCCUGUGUAGCGGUGAAAUGCGUAGAUAUAGGAAGGAACACCAGUGGCGAAGGCGACUACCUGGACUGAUACUGACACUGAGGUGCGAAAGCGUGGGGAGCAAACAGGAUUAGAUACCCGUGUAGUCC
rnacentral:rRNA from 1 species